GCUGCUGAACGUGGAAGCUUGAGGAGCUCCGGGUGGGGCUGCAGAAACCCUAUUCCUGGAGGCUGAGACUUUGAAAAACAAGUUGUCAUUCAUUACAAAAGCAGCAAUUGUUUUUCUGGUGUCCAACUUUAUCAUUCCGAUUGUUUUGUGCCAUGGCUCCUGCGGCUUCCGUGGCACAACAGGUGGGUUCUCUUAGCAUCUGCUCAACACUCUUCUCUCUUGCCUAGAGGCCGGAGCUACAGAUGGGCUCGUCCAGCCCCUUUCCCUUUGGAGCUACGUGAGAGGAAGCCUGGGGAGGGGAUACUGGACAAGAUCUGAUUCCCCUUCCUAAACAUAAAUCGGGACAAAUGCAAUGAGCAAGGCCUUUUUUCCUUCCCCAUUGUUCUCAUCUGGAGCAUGGAUGUGAAGCCUGUGGGUGCAUAGCCGCCGUGUAACCAGGAGAUGAAAACCUGUGCGCUAAGGGCAUCGCCAGAGUCUGAAAACAUCUAUAAUACUUUAAACCAACGAAAUACCCAAGCUCCUAAGAUGAGAAAAGUGCCAAAAUGAGCUUUAGGAGCAGGAAUUGGUUCACACAAUAUGGGAUGUUGGCAAACCCGAAAUCUGCAGAGCCAAUGACCUUGUUCAAGUCCAAAUACCAGCAGGCUGUGGCAGACCAGGAGAAGGUGAUGUCCUAGCUCAAAGUCAUUCAGGAGCAAGCCAAUCUUCUAUCUUAUCCAGACCGUCAACUGAUUGGAUGCGGCCCACCACAUUGUGGAGACAAUCUGCUUGACUCAAUCUGAUUCAAAUGUUAAUCGUCUCUAAAAAUAUGCUCACAGAAACAAACAGAAUAAUACAGAUAUCCGGGUACCCCAUGGCCCAGUCAAGUUGAUACACAAAAUUAACUGUCACACCAUGUGUGUAUUACAUUAAUACAAAAGGGAAACCAAAAAGGAAGCUCUUUGCAUGAUAUGCCUGUAAGCUUACUUUUCUUUUGUCACUGAAAAAGUUAUCCAUGUGUAUGGAAAACAAUCAAACUGUAACAAAAUGUUGUGUAAUUAAAAAUAAAAGUCCUAGGGGCACCCGACUGGCUCAGUCAGUGGAGCGUGCAACUCUUAAUCUCAGGGUUGUGAGUUUGAGCCCCACCUUGGGUGUAGAUAUGAAAAAUAAAAUCUUAAAAAUAAAUAAAUAAAUGAAAAUAACAAUAAAUAAAUAAAGUCCUAGACCCUCUGACCAGAGUCAUUCACCA